rnacentral:rRNA from 1 species
UACGGAGGAUGCAAGCGUUAUCCGGAAUGAUUGGGCAUAAAGGGUCCGCAGGUGGCAGUGUAAGUCUGCUGUCAAAGAAUGAGGCUUAACCUUAUCAAGGCAGUGGAAACUACACAGCUAGAGUACGGUCGGGGUAGAAGGAAUUCCUGGUGUAGCGGUGAAAUGCGUAGAGAUCAGGAAGAACACCGGUGGCGAAAGCGUUCUGCUAGACCUGUACUGACACUGAGGGACGAAAGCUAGGGGAGCGAAUGGG